rnacentral:rRNA from 1 species
UACGGGGGGUGCGAGCGUUGUCCGGAAUCACUGGGCGUAAAGGGCGCGUAGGUGGUCUGAUAAGGGUGUGGUGAAAGCCCGGGGCUCAACCCCGGGUCGGCCGUGCCGACUGUUAGACUAGAGUACUGUAGGGGCAGGCGGAAUUCCGGGUGUAGCGGUGGAAUGCGUAGAGAUCCGGAGGAAGACCGGUGGCGAAGGCGGAUCUCUGGGCCUUACCUGACGCUCAGGUGCGAAAGCUAGGGGAGCGAACAGG